rnacentral:rRNA from 1 species
AACGAACGCUGGCGGCAGGCCUAACACAUGCAAGUCGAACGAACCCUUCGGGGUGAGUGGCGCACGGGUGCGUAACGCGUGGGAAUGUACCCCCGGGUAAGGAAUAACUGCCGGAAACGGUAGCUAAUACCUUAUAAUGGCUUCGGCCCAAAGAUUUAUCGCCCAGGGAUCAGCCCGCGUCGGAUUAGGUAGUUGGUGAGGUAACGGCUCACCAAGCCGACGAUCCGUAGGGGGUCUGAGAGGAUGAUCCCCCACACUGGUACUGAGACACGGACCAG